rnacentral:rRNA from 1 species
AGGAUUGUUUCACUCCAUGGUAUUCCAUUGGUUAUCAGUUCAGACCGUGGUAGCAUAUUCACUUCAAGAUUCUGGGCAAGUUUCCAAGAAGCAAUGGGAACUCAUCUGUCAUUUAGUACUGCGUUUCAUCCUCAAUCGCAAGGACAAGUUGAACGCGUCAAUCAAAUCCUCGAAGACAUGCUUCGAGCUUGCGUUAUUUCCUUCGGCAAGAAAUGGGAGGAAUCUCUCCCGUAUGCUGAGUUCUCCUAUAAUAAUAGCUAUCAAGCUAGUCUGAAGAUGGCCCCCUUCGAGGUGUUAUAUGGACGAAAGUGCCGAACCCCUCUGAACUGGUCAGAAACUGGGGAACGUCCACUCUUCGGUCCGGAUAUUAUCCAAGAUGCCGAAGAACAAGUCCGCAUUAUUCGCGAGAAUCUCAAGACUGCUCAGUCACGUCAGAAGAGUCAGUAUGACCGUCAUCAUAAAGACAUGGUCUAUCAACCUGGCGAAAAGGCUUAUCUUCGAGUCACACCUAUGAAGGGUGCUCACCGCUUCGGGAUCAAGGGCAAACUAGCUCCUCGCUAUAUUGGC